CACUCCUGCGGGAGGCAGCAGUGGGGAAUAUUGCACAAUGGGCGCAAGCCUGAUGCAGCCAUGCCGCGUGUAUGAAGAAGGCCUUCGGGUUGUAAAGUACUUUCAGCGGGGAGGAAGGCGAUAAGGUUAAUAACCUUGUCGAUUGACGUUACCCGCAGAAGAAGCACCGGCUAACUCCGUGCCAGCAGCCGCGGUAAUACGGAGGGUGCAAGCGUUAAUCGGAAUUACUGGGCGUAAAGCGCACGCAGGCGGUCUGUCAAGUCGGAUGUGAAAUCCCCAGGCUCAACCUGGGAACUGCAUUCGAAACUGGCAGGCUAGAGUCUUGUAGAGGGGGGUAGAAUUCCAGGUGUAGCGGUGAAAUGCGUAGAGAUCUGGAGGAAUACCGGUGGCGAAGGCGGCCCCCUGGACAAAGACUGACGCUCAGGUGCGAAAGCGUGGGGAGCAAACAGGAUUAGAUACCCCAGUAGUCCCAUG
rnacentral:rRNA from 1 species